rnacentral:tRNA from 1 species
GCCCGGUUAGUUCAGUUGGUAGAGCAUCAGACUUUUAAUCUGAGGGCCAUGGGUUCGAGUCCCAUAUUGGGCU